rnacentral:lncRNA from 1 species
AUGUGUCCUAGCUAUAAUUCAUUAGGUAUGUGUCCUAGCUAUAAUUCAUUAGGUAUGUGUCCUAGCUAUAAUUCAUUAGGUAUGUGUCCUAGCUAUAAUUCAUUAGGUAUGUGUCCUAGCUAUAAUUCAUUAGGUAUGUGUCCUAGCUAUAAUUCAUUAGGUAUGUGUCCUAGCUAUAAUUCAUUAGGUAUGUGUCCUAGCUAUAAUUCAUUAGGUAUGUGUCCUAGCUAUAAUUCAUUAGGUAUGUGUCCUAGCUAUAAUUCAUUAGGUAUGUGUCCUAGCUAUAAUUCAUUAGGUAUGUGUCCUAGCUAUAAUUCAUUAGGUAUGUGUCCUAGCUAUAAUUCAUUAGGUAUGUGUCCUAGCUAUAAUUCAUUAGGUAUGUGUCCUAGCUAUAAUUCAUUAGGUAUGUGUCCUAGCUAUAAUUCAUUAGGUAUGUGUCCUAGCUAUAAUUCAUUAGGUAUGUGUCCUAGCUAUAAUUCAUUAGGUAUGUGUCCUAGCUAUAAUUCAUUAGGUAUGUGUCCUAGCUAUAAUUCAUUAGGUAUGUGUCCUAGCUAUAAUUCAUUAGGUAUGUGUCCUAGCUAUAAUUCAUUAGGUAUGUGUCCUAGCUAUAAUUCAUUAGGUAUGUGUCCUAGCUAUAAUUCAUUAGGUAUGUGUCCUAGCUAUAAUUCAUUAGGUAUGUGUCCUAGCUAUAAUUCAUUAGGUAUGUGUCCUAGCUAUAAUUCAUUAGGUAUGUGUCCUAGCUAUAAUUCAUUAGGUAUGUGUCCUAGCUAUAAUUCAUUAGGUAUGUGUCCUAGCUAUAAUUCAUUAGGUAUGUGUCCUAGCUAUAAUUCAUUAGGUAUGUGUCCUAGCUAUAAUUCAUUAGGUAUGUGUCCUAGCUAUAAUUCAUUAGGUAUGUGUCCUAGCUAUAAUUCAUUAGGUAUGUGUCCUAGCUAUAAUUCAUUAGGUAUGUGUCCUAGCUAUAAUUCAUUAGGUAUGUGUCCUAGCUAUAAUUCAUUAGGUAUGUGUCCUAGCUAUAAUUCAUUAGGUAUGUGUCCUAGCUAUAAUUCAUUAGGUAUGUGUCCUAGCUAUAAUUCAUUAGGUAUGUGUCCUAGCUAUAAUUCAUUAGGUAUGUGUCCUAGCUAUAAUUCAUUAGGUAUGUGUCCUAGCUAUAAUUCAUUAGGUAUGUGUCCUAGCUAUAAUUCAUUAGGUAUGUGUCCUAGCUAUAAUUCAUUAGGUAUGUGUCCUAGCUAUAAUUCAUUAGGUAUGUGUCCUAGCUAUAAUUCAAUAGGUAUGUGUCCUAGCUAUAAUUCAAUAGGUAUGUGUCCUAGCUAUAAUUCAUUAGGUAUGUGUCCUAGCUAUAAUUCAUUAGGUAUGUGUCCUAGCUAUAAUUCAUUAGGUAUGUGUCCCAGCUAUAAUUCAUUAGGUAUGUGUCCUAGCUAUAAUUCAUUAGGUAUGUGUCCUAGCUAUAAUUCAUUAGGUAUGUGUCCCAGCUAUAAUUCAUUAGGUAUGUGUCCUAGCUAUAAUUCAUUAGGUAUGUGUCCUAGCUAUAAUUCAUUAGGUAUGUGUCCUAGCUAUAAUUCAUUAGGUAUGUGUCCUAGCUAUAAUUCAUUAGGUAUGUGUCCUAGCUAUAAUUCAUUAGGUAUGUCCUAG